GAUGAACGCUGGCGGCGUGCCUAAUACAUGCAAGUCGAGCGAAUGGAUUAAGAGCUUGCUCUUAUGAAGUUAGCGGCGGACGGGUGAGUAACACGUGGGUAACCUGCCCAUAAGACUGGGAUAACUCCGGGAAACCGGGGCUAAUACCGGAUAACAUUUUGAACCGCAUGGUUCGAAAUUGAAAGGCGGCUUCGGCUGUCACUUAUGGAUGGACCCGCGUCGCAUUAGCUAGUUGGUGAGGUAACGGCUCACAAAGGCAACGAUGCGUAGCUGACCUGAGAGCGUGAUCGACCACACUGGGACUGAGACACGGCCCAGCCUCCUACGGGAGGCAGCAGUAGGGAAGCUUCCGCAAUGGACGAAAGUCUGACGGAGCAACGCCUCGUGAGUGAUGAAGGCUUUCGGGUCGUAAAACUCUGUUGUUAGGGAAGAACAAGUGCUAGUUGAAUAAGCUGACACCUUGACGGUACCUAACCAGAAAGCCACGGCUAACUACGUGCCAGCAGCCGCAGUAA
rnacentral:rRNA from 1 species